rnacentral:rRNA from 1 species
CCUACGGGAGGCAGCAGUGAGGAAUAUUGGUCAAUGGUCGGGAGACUGAACCAGCCAAGCCGCGUGAGGGAUGAAGGUACAGAGUAUCGUAAACCUCUUUUGUCAGGGAACAAAGGCGGGGACGUGUCCCCGUAUGAGUGUACCUUAAGAAAAAGCAUCGGCUAACUCCGUGCCAGCAGCCGCGGUAAUACGGAGGAUGCGAGCGUUAUCCGGAUUUAUUGGGUUUAAAGGGUGCGCAGGGGGUCUGUUAAGUCAGGUGUGAAAGCCCGGGGCUCAACCCCGGCACGGCAGUUGAAACUGGCAGUCUAGAGUAGGAGAGAGGUAUGCGGAAUGCGAGGUGUAGCGGUGAAAUGCAUAGAUAUCGCGCAGAACUCCGAUUGCGAAGGCAGCAUGCUGGAUCCACACUGACGCUGAGGCACGAAAGCGUGGGUAUCGAACAGGAUUAGAUACCCCUGUAGUC